rnacentral:rRNA from 1 species
GGCUGUCGUCAGCUCGUGUUGUGAAAUGUUGGGUUAAGUCCCGCAACGAGCGCAACCCUUAUCCUUUGUUGCCAGCGGUCCGGCCGGGAACUCAAAGGAGACUGCCAGUGAUAAACUGGAGGAAGGUGGGGAUGACGUCAAGUCAUCAUGGCCCUUACGACCAGGGCUACACACGUGCUACAAUGGCGCAUACAAAGAGAAGCGACCUCGCGAGAGCAAGCGGACCUCAUAAAGUGCGUCGUAGUCCGGAUUGGAGUCUGCAACUCGACUCCAUGAAGUCGGAAUCGCUAGUAAUCGUGGAUCAGAAUGCCACGGUGAAUACGUUCCCGGGCCUUGUACACACCGCCCGUCACACCAUGGGAGUGGGUUGCAAAAGAAGUAGGUAGCUUAACCUUCGGGAGGGCGCUUACCACUUUGUGAUUCAUGACUGGGGUGAAGUCGUAACAAGGUAACCGUAGGGGAACCUGCGGCUGGAUCACCUC